UACGAAGGGGGCUAGCGUUGUUCGGAAUUACUGGGCGUAAAGGGCGCGCAGGCGGCUCGUCAAGUCAGGCGUGAAAGCCCCGGGCUCAACCUGGGAACAGCGCUUGAGACUGGCGAGCUCGAGUUCGGGAGAGGAGAGUGGAAUUCCCAGUGUAGAGGUGAAAUUCGUAGAUAUUGGGAAGAACACCGGUGGCGAAGGCGGCUCUCUGGACCGAUACUGACGCUGAGGCGCGAAAGCGUGGGGAGCAAACAGG
rnacentral:rRNA from 1 species